GAUCAAUAGUUGUUAGGAAAAAUGCACUUUCUGGGCUUCGGCGUGGGGCAGUGUUCGAUAUAGCGGAUGUUUCGCUGUGCGGGAGUUCGAUAUACGUGCACACCAACCCCAUACUUUUGUAUGGGAAAUUCAAGUGGAUUUCUCAACUGUUCGGUAUAGCCAAUAAUUCGAUAUAUCCGAGUUCGAUGUACCCGGGAUCGACUGUAUUAUAAACAGCAGUG
rnacentral:lncRNA from 1 species